CUGUGAUCUCAGGCUCAGAGGAAGUUCCUAAUUUAAGACUGCAGUACUUGGCAACCAAAUCUACUCGUCCAACAGCAGGAUUCUUCAAUGCAAGUGCCAAGCGAUGAUAUGUUGCAUCGUAUGGGAACCUCUCUUGCCAGCUAGCUAG